CCCCCGCGGUUUGUCAGGGAUCCGCAGGUCCCGGAAAGCCCUUCGUCUCACCCGGGAUCCACCUCCCUUUCAUUCUCCCUGCCGGCCUCCUCACCCCACGCCCUGCCCUUGGAGAAACCCGCUCCUCCUCGCUGUCUGCCGGGGUUCGGAGUGACACCGCAGAGCCAGAGGCGUGGGAGCUGCGCCGCUGCGCACUGGUCCGCCCGCCCCCCUGCCUGGUCUUCUGGAGCUGAGGACUCGGGGAACCAUGGAAUUGAGGCGAGCCUUGGGCUGCCUUAGAGGCGCUGACAUCCAAGGAGACUUCUCCUGGGACUGAAUGAACAAUGUUUGGGAGAAGCAGAAGAGAAGGGCAUAGAGCAGCCAGGCAGGGCCAGGCACUGGGAGGGGGGUCCAGCUCUGAGGCCUCCCCACACCUAUCUUCUUGGAAGGAACUGUAUGUCGCUGAAGAAAAGUUGAAAAAUGAAAAAGAAUAACCUUUUCCCUUUCCCCAUCCAGGAAAUAGCCGAAGGAGGCCCAACAGCCAAGCUGAGCCCACCCGGCUCAAGAGAAUACCCGACGGCGGCGGGGGGGGCGGCUAAGGCUGCCCUGGAAGGCCAAGUGCGAGUUGCAUUUUUGAAGAGUCCAAGAUGGGCAUGGCUGUGACAUUGGCCCUGGAGACUGGUUUUCCAUGAGUUGUUCUUUCUCAGGAGCUCCACGGUGUGAGGCCAUCUCCAGAAAAGUCUUCAGCGUGUAUUUCCUUUUAUCGUCAACCCGGAGCCCCAUGGCAGCUAAUGCAAGAGGCCAAAAAUGUUUUGGAGGAAGAAAAACAAAGGCAGGAAGUGGCGGCGGCUUGACGGUGCGUGUGUGUCUGCGGAGAAGGGAGGGAGCCAUUUCAAUCUCUUCUUGUUUUUCCAAACUUCAGGGUCCAGGCAGCCCUCGCAGGGCCGACCCGUUGCUCCCCGCGCAGCAUUUGGAGAUGGCCACCCGGAGAGGAGAAGGCUGGCGCCGGAGCCAGCCUUGUCAGGCGGAAACGGCUAACGAGGCGAUUUGCUCAGCAAAGCAGACCAAGCCUUUCCAAACUUCAUUUGAUUUGGCCCUAAAAGUGGGGGGUUGGGGGAUUCGGAAACACCUCCCGGACCCUCCUUGGCGGGCGGGCUGAGUGCUCCGUAGCGGGGAUUCGGGAGCCCUGCACUCCACGCGCCUUCCCAGGCGGGAUAUGGGAAUAAAGUGUGUCCAGAUGCCUCUGCCCAGCA